rnacentral:rRNA from 1 species
GCAAGUCGUGCGAUUAAAGCCCGCAAGGGCAUAUAAAGCGGCGGACGGGUGAGUAACACGUAGCUAACCUGCCCCUCGGUAAGGGAUAACGGUUCGAAAGGGCCGCUAAUACCAGAUACGCCGGAGAGUCUACCCGACUCUUCGUGAAAGCGGAGUAAUCCGCGCCGGGGGAGGGGGCUGCGGCCUAUUAGCUAGUUGGUGAGGUAACGGCCCACCAAGGCUACGAUGGGUAGCUGAUCUGAGAGGAUGGUCAGCCACACUGGGACUGAGACACGGCCCAGACUCCUACGGGAGGCAGCAGUUAAGAAUCUUGCACAAUGGGCGAAAGCCUGAUGCAGCGACGCCGCGUGAGCGAUGAAGGCCUUCGGGUUGUAAAGCUCUUUUCUGGGAGAAGAAACCGGUGCUUGUCACCGACUGACUGUACCUCAGGAAUAAGCCUCGGCCAAUUACGUGCCAGCAGCCGCGGUAAGACGUAAGAGGCGAGCGUUGUCCGGAAUCACUGGGCGUAAAGCGCGUGUAGGUGGCUUGGUAAGUCGGAUGUGAAAUCCUCGGGCUCAACCCGGGAACUGCGUCCGAAACUGCCUCGCUUGAGAGCAGAAGAGGAGGGUGGAAUUCCGGGUGUAGCGGUGAAAUGCGUAGAUAUCCGGAGGAACACCAGUGGUGAAGACGGCUCUCUGGUCUGUUUCUGACGCUGAGACGCGAAAGCGUGGGGAGCGAACGGGAUUAGAUACCCCGGUAGUCCACGCCGUAAACGAUGGGUACUAGGUGUCGGGGGAUCGACCCCCUCGGUGCCGGAGCUAACGUGUUAAGUACCCGGCUGGGGAGUACGGCCGCAGGU